GAUGAACGCUGGCGGCGUGCCUAAUACAUGCAAGUCGAGCGGACAGACGAGGAGCUUGCUCCUCUGACGUUAGCGGCGGACGGGUGAGUAACACGUGGAUAACCUACCUAUCAUACUGGGAUAACUUCGGGACACCGGAGCUAAUACCGGAGAAUAUUUUGAACCGCAUGGUUGAAUGGUGAAAGACGGUGUUGCGGUCACUUAUAGAGGGAUCCGCGCUGCAUUAGCUAGUUGGUAAGGUAACGGCUUACCAAGGGGACGAUGCGUAGCCGACCUGAGAGGGUGAUCGGCCACACUGGAACUGAGACACGCUCCAGACGCCUACGGUAGGCAGCAGUCGGGAACGUUCCGCAAUGGGCGAAAGCCUGACGGAGCAACGCCGCGUGAGUGAUGAAGGUCUUCGGAUCGUAAAACUCUGUUAUUAGGGAAGAACAUAUGUGUAAGUAACUGUGCACUUCUUGACGGUACCUAAUCAGAAAGCCACGGCUAACUACGUG
rnacentral:rRNA from 1 species